AAAAGGGGGGCCAGUGCUGACCUGUCUUCUUGUUGUUCUGCAAACCGUACAGCAGGCAGAUAGGGCACGAACUGAUUGCAAUCUCUGCCUUCAAACCUUCAGUGAUGAACAACAGCUGAGCAAUUUCAGAAUGUUGUGUUUUGGGGUUCAUCUCCCCAUCUAACAAAACGCUAAUCCUCAAAUGACUUCAAUUUCCACUUCCAAAGUGUUCUGAAGAAAUCUCGUGCUGUCUGGUGCAACGCUUUGGUCUUUGAGCUGCACAGAGGUGGUCUGAUCCCUAUCUCACUGGGAACUGGGAAACAAUGUCACCUAAGUCAACAUAUAAUGCAGUAGGACCUGCCCCAUGGGAGGUAAAGCAAGAAAGCACACAGUGAAGUCCAGCUCAUCUUUAGGGGUGGAAACCUUGAAGCUUUUCAGACACAAUCAUUCUUCACAUCCCUCCUUGAUAAAAUUCUCAGCAGUCAGCACAGAUUUAAGAAGAAAAAAAAAAGACACUGCCUGUCCUGUUUCUCAACAUUUGGAAAGUUUUAAGGAGUACUGCAGGUGAGAGUAUGGUCACAAAUGUAUUUUAUUUUUCAUAAUUUCUCUCCAGAUUUUAGAAUGAAAAAUGUUAACGUCUGUUCUAACAUCUGAGAAUCUUUCGGAGCCCUUUUAGAAAACAAGCAGUGAGGCAAAACAGAACAUACAAACUGUAUUUUAUUUAUGCAGAUAAGAUUUGUGUGAAAUCAGGAUUUGAUUUUUGACUAAGUGCUCACAGGUGAUUGUAUUUACAGUGCUGAAAUGCUGUGAUAUGCUACAAUAUAUCAUAGACCAAAUUCGGAAUAUUUGUAGUGUGAGUACUGAAAAACGCAUGGAGCUGAAACAUAAAGGGAAAACACUGAGCAAUGUGGGGAAAAGGCAGGUCCAGAUUUGUAUUUGUCACUUAACCUACUUAAUUCUAAGUCUAAGGGAGUUGUAAUUCUG
ensembl:lncRNA